rnacentral:rRNA from 1 species
AGUGAACGCUGGCGGUAGGCCUAGCACAUGCAAGUCGAACGGCAGCACAGUAAGAGCUUGCUCUUACGGGUGGCGAGUGGCGGACGGGUGAGGAAUACAUCGGAAUCUACUUUUUCGUGGGGGAUAACGUAGGGAAACUUACGCUAAUACCGCAUACGACCUACGGGUGAAAGCAGGGGAUCUUCGGACCUUGCGCGAUUGAAUGAGCCGAUGUCGGAUUAGCUAGUUGGCGGGGUAAAGGCCCACCAAGGCGAUGAUCCGUAGCUGGUCUGAGAGGAUGAUCAGCCACACUGGAACUGAGACACGGUCCAGACUCCUACGGGAGGCAGCAGUGGGGAAUAUUGGACAAUGGGCGCAAGCCUGAUCCAGCCAUACCGCGUGGGUGAAGAAGGCCUUCGGGUUGUAAAGCCCUUUUGUUGGGAAAGAAAAGCAGCAGGUUAAUACCCCGCUGUUCUGACGGUACCCAAAGAAUAAGCACCGGCUAACUUCGUG